ACCAUGUAAACAAUAUCUUCACACUUGUGAUCUCUGACUGUAAAUGUAUUCAGUGUGUAAAUGCAUUGUUUUAAACGAACAUCAAAUAACGACAGACUGUAGCGGUGUUUCAAAUCCCUCACUCACACACACAUUAUGUUGGCACACAGGUCCCUGAUGCCCUAAGAUGCUGUCACAGUAGACAGCUCACAGAGAAAUACAGUCUGUUGAUUUUAUUAAGCUGGCUACAGAAGCUUUCUGGAGAUACGAAGACGCACUGUGCUGUAUAAUCUAACAUGAGCUGUUUGGACUUUCAUUCUGACGGCACCCAUUCACUGCAGAGGAUCCAUUGGUGAGCAAGUGAUGUAAUGCUAAAUUUAUCUAAAUCUGUUCCGAUGGAGAAACAACCUCCUCUACAUAUUAGAUGGGUUCAACUCACUGACUCAAUAAUUUGGUCACAACCAGUACGUGAGUGAGAAUUUAUCACUUUAUGUUCAACGGAAGAAAGACUGGAGCAUGAGGCGGGUCUCCAAGUGACUGUUCCCGGAGUGCGAAUCCCCAAGCUGGCACUGACACAAAGCUAGUCCUGGAUGAAAGGCUGAGGUUGCAUUCUGGACCUGGCUUUCCAGCCAAACAACCCCCAAUACAGACUUGCCAUUAUUUAAAAAAAAAAUAGCAUUAUGGGUGGAACAGUUGUUAUCGUGUCUUGAUGUCAUACAUACGUCACUUGUCUAUUCCAUGUACUGUAUGUGUUUAUUAUCAGCAAGAUGGCAUUUUUUUCAUCUGUAAUACAUCACUUCUGCAACAUUUAUGAUAAAUACAUUG